UAAAACAAACCAAAGACUGAAUUUUCCACCGCCGAAAAAGUUGACCCUUUUACAUGAAGAAAAAAAAGUUAUCAUUUCUUCCAAUUUUCUUCGAUCUCCAUAGUUAAGGUAUAGCCUCCUCAUAUUACUUUGCUUGACAACAAAUCCUUCUUAGAUCUCCCAAUUUCCCCUAAAUGAUCCACAAUCUCAACAGCUACUGAGUCAAACUCGGACGACUCUAACAUGGCGGAGAAGAAGCCGGACUCCGUUGUAUGUAUCCGAGUUCCCUACAAGAACCUCAAGCAAACCGCUGAGGUUGAGUUGGUAGGCUUCGAUGAUAACUCUCCGUCAAAAUCUUGGGUUUCUAAUGGCGUCGGCGAUGAUGAUUCGCCCGAUAAUUGCCGACAUUCGCAAAGUUUGAGAUCCGAGAAUUGUAAUUUGAUAACAUUGAUACUCAGUUGCGCCGUUGCUGCUGGUGUUCAAUUUGGUUGGGCAUUACAGCUUUCUCUUCUAACACCUUACGUUCAGACACUUGGAAUAGGACAUGCUUUUUCUUCAUUUAUAUGGUUAUGUGGUCCUAUCACAGGUCUUGUGGUUCAACCAUGUGUAGGUAUUUGGAGCGACAAAUGCACUUCUAAAUAUGGAAGAAGGCGACCCUUCAUUCUUGCUGGUGCCCUCAUGAUUUCUGUUGCGGUCAUAAUAAUAGGCUUUUCUGCAGACAUUGGAUAUUUGUUAGGAGACACCAAAGAGCACUGCAGCACUUUCAAAGGUACUCGAACCAGAGCAACUUUUGUAUUUGUUGUUGGUUUUUGGAUGUUGGAUCUUGCUAAUAACACAGUUCAGGGCCCUGCUCGCGCUCUUUUAGCUGAUUUAUCAGGACCUGAUCAGCGGAAUGCUGCAAAUGCUGUGUUUGCCUCCUGGAUGGCUGUCGGCAACAUCUUGGGUUUCUUAUGCGGUGCUAGUGGAAAUUGGCAUCAGUGGUUUCCUUUCUUAACAAACCGAGCUUGUUGUGAAGCAUGUGGAAAUUUGAAAGCUGCGUUUCUGGUUGCGGUGGUUUUCUUGACGCUUUGUACACUUGUAACUCUCUACUUUGCCAAGGAGGUUCCGCUGGAGGCAUGCCCAUCUCAGAGGCUAUCAGAUUCUGCUCCUUUACUGAAUGAUCGUCAAAAUAUGUCAAUGGACACACCAAAGGUGAAGGCCCAUGAUAGUACUUCUUUGUCUUACGAUGAAGAUGAUAAGAGGAAUGAAAUUCAUCAUGAUGGUGGUUCUAAUGAGGGACCUGGAGAUGUUAUGGUCAAGUUGUUGACCAGCAUAAGGCAUUUACCACCAGCAAUGCAUUCGGUGCUCCUUGUAACGGCUCUCACUUGGGUAUCAUGGUUUCCCUUUCUUCUUUUCGACACAGAUUGGAUGGGAAGAGAAGUGUAUCAUGGAAACCCUACUGGGAGUGCUUCUGAAGCAAAUGACUACAAUCAAGGUGUCAGAGAAGGUGCUGUCGGUUUGCUACUCAAUUCAGUUGUCCUUGGUGUUGGCUCCUUCCUAAUUGAACCCAUGUGCCGGCAAAUGGGGACGAAAGUGGUGUGGGCUUUGAGCAAUUUUAUUGUGUUUAUCUGCAUGGCAAGCAUUGCUGUUAUAAGUUUAGUUUCUCUCAGAAGCUACUCUCAAGGUGUCCAACAUGUGAUUGGAGAAAAUUCAUCGACCAAGAUUGCAGCCCUGGUCAUCUUUGCUAUUCUUGGGUUUCCUCUUUCUAUAACAUAUAGUGUUCCUUAUUCCGUCACUGCCACAGUGACUGCUGAUUCAGGAGGUGGUCAAGGAUUGGCACUAGGAGUUCUCAAUCUUGCAAUUGUUAUCCCUCAGAUGAUUGUAUCGCUAGGAGCUGGGCCUUGGGAUGCUCUGUUUGGCGGAGGAAACAUUCCUGCUUUCGUGUUAGCUUCUGUUGCCGCAUUAGCAGCUGCUAUAAUAGCAACAUAUAAGAUGCCAAAUAUAUCUUCCAGCUUCAGGUCAUCUGGCAUGCAUGUAGGCUGAUCGAGUUCCCAUACAAUGGCACCUUACAAAUGUAACUUUACGCUGCCACUAGUCCAACAAGGGAACUAUUACGAGCGCAUUUUUCACAUUCUAUACAAAAGCCGGUUGCAUAAAGGGGAAUGCCUGCAGUGAUAGUAAAGAGGAGGAAGGUUGAUGCUUCGAUGUUCUAUAGGUCUUGAAUUUUGGUCUUAUUGAGGCGAGAUUGGACUGUGUAGUAUGAACUAGUUAUGACAAUGGUUAGAUCUAAAUUGGAUUUGGUCGAAGAUGAUAAAGGGCGUGGCGGAAAUUUUAGAUUGUUUAAUGAUCAAUUUUCUUUUGUUUUGUUUGUUGAAAUUUUAUCAGGGAAACCCACAUUUUAACUAAGUUUGGGAGAUUUGCCUUAUUUUAGGAAUGCAAAGUUAAGUUCCUAGAGUUAUAAAGAAAGUCUGUUGAAGUUAAUUGCCCCCUAAAUUACUAGUAAAUGACCUAAUUUAGACUAAUUUAGUUAUGAUUAGUCAGUUUACGUACCAUUUCACACGUCAGCUCUAUGCUUCCAAUUAUGGUGAAGUAAUGUUAAUAGCUAUAUGACAAUAUUUAUGGUUUUAUUCAUAAAUGGCAAAGACUUGGACAAUAGAAAACAAUUUAUAGCAUUUUACUAUUGAUGGGUUUUAAUCAACCUAGUGUUGGUCUCAUAAAUGAAGUUGCUAUUGAGAGGUUUGGUAUAACAUAAGACUCACAUGCCAGCUUGAAACCAAAACCCCAAGCCUCAAGCCUUGAAGCCUAAUCUUGACACAAGCUCAACCUAACUUUAUUCCGACCUGAGCUCAACGUGAUACAGGAGAAAUGGGUCUUGAACAAGCCACAUAGACCAAAAUCAUGAUUUGUGCAUUGAGUCCAUGGUUCAAUGUACUUGGUUUUGUCAAAGAUGGGAUUGAUCAGUGUGAGGACAGAUUGGACUUGCUUGGAAAUCUAGUACAAAUAGUGAUUAUGGGCCCAGGACGCAUAAGAAUUGGCUUGGAUGAUCAAUCUAUCGCGGAGAAAUAUAACAUCUUAGAAACUAUAUCAUAGAAGUAUCCUAUAUUGGUCUUAUUUUUUAGAGAACCAUUAUUACAACUUAUAAGUAAGCAGUAAGCAGUAAGCAGUAAGCUCCAUCUUCUAUCAAAUUCAAAAGUGCCAUAAAAAGAUCUACAAGAUGUAGAAAGUUCACAGUCAAUUUGGAAGCCUAGUAGACUAAAAAGAAAUCAUGUCCUCAAACACAUCCCAAGUGAUCCCAAUUACUUUCUAUGUUCUUUUUGGUUCUUUUCAUUUAUUUUUUGCUCAAUUUUUUAAAACAAUUUCGAAUUUCAAUAUCUCUAAAUAUGCAUCAUAAAGAAUUAUAAAUUUUUUUUUUCUGUAUUGCUUGCAUGUUUAUCACUCCUAUCUUGGAUUAGCAUUCUUGUAAUCGAUAUUCAACAAAAACGUUCUAUCACAAAUUUUGUUCUGGUAAUGUCUUGAAAUUUGUUACAACCAAGGAUUUACUUUGAAGAAACCAAGUUAUCCUGUCAAUGAUAAUUUCUUUCAAGAAAUCAAGUUAUUGCAAGGUUUUCAGGAAAUUAAGUUAUCCCACGUGUAA